UAGCAUAUCAAUAAGCGGAGGAAAAGAAACCAACAGGGAUUGCCUUAGUAACGGCGAGUGAAGCGGCAAUAGCUCAAAUUUGAAAGCUGGCCCCUUCGGGGUCCGCGUUGUAAUUUGUAGAGGAUGGUUCGGCGAGGGCUCCCGUCUAAGUCCCUUGGAACAGGGCGUCAUAGAGGGUGAGAAUCCCGUAUGUGAUGGGCUGCCUUAGCCAUGUGAACCUCCUUCGACGAGUCGAGUUGUUUGGGAAUGCAGCUCUAAAUGGGAGGUAAAUUUCUUCUAAAGCUAAAUACCGGCCAGAGACCGAUAGCGCACAAGUAGAGUGAUCGAAAGAUGAAAAGCACUUUGGAAAGAGAGUUAAAAAGUACGUGAAAUUGUUGAAAGGGAAGCGCUUGCAGCCAGACUUGUCCGCAGUUGCUCAGCCUGUCUCCUGACAGGCGCACUCUUCUGCGGCCAGGCCAGCAUCAGUUCGGGCGGUCGGAUAAAGACCCGGGGAAUGUAGCUCCUCUCGGGGAGUGUUAUAGCCCUGGGUGCAAUGCGGCCAGCCUGGACUGAGGAUCUCGCUUCGGCUAGGAUGCUGGCGUAAUGGCUGUAAGCGGCCCGUCUUGAAACACGGACCAAGGAGUCUAACAUCUAUGCGAGUGUUUGGGUGUCAAACCCAUGCGCGUAAUGAAAGUGAACGGAGGUGGGAACCCUCACGGGUGCACCAUCGACCGAUCCUGAUGUCUUCGGAUGGAUUUGAGUAAGAGCAUAGCUGUUGGGACCCGAAAGAUGGUGAACUAUGCCUGAAUAGGGUGAAGCCAGAGGAAACUCUGGUGGAGGCUCGCAGCGGUUCUGACGUGCAAAUCGAUCGUCAAAUUUGGGUAUAGGGGCGAAAGACUAAUCGAACCAUCUAGUAGCUGGGUCCUUCCGA
rnacentral:rRNA from 1 species